UGGGGAAUUUUGGACAAUGGGCGAAAGCCUGAUCCAGCAAUGCCGCGUGUGUGAAGAAGGCCUUCGGGUUGUAAAGCACUUUUGUCCGGAAAGAAAUCCUUGGCUCUAAUACAGUCGGGGGAUGACGGUACCGGAAGAAUAAGCACCGGCUAACUACGUGCCAGCAGCCGCGGUAAUACGUAGGGUGCAAGCGUUAAUCGGAAUUACUGGGCGUAAAGCGUGCGCAGGCGGUUUGCUAAGACCGAUGUGAAAUCCCCGGGCUCAACCUGGGAACUGCAUUGGUGACUGGCAGGCUAGAGUAUGGCAGAGGGGGGUAGAAUUCCACGUGUAGCAGUGAAAUGCGUAGAGAUGUGGAGGAAUACCGAUGGCGAAGGCAGCCCCCUGGGCCAAUACUGACGCUCAUGCACGAAAGCGUGGGGGAGCAAACAGGAUUAGAUACCCUGGUAGUCCACGCCCUAAACGAUGUCAACUGGUUGUUGGGGAUUCAUUUCCUUAGUAACGUAGCUAACGCGUGAAGUUGACCGCCUGGGGAGUACGGUCGCAAGAUU
rnacentral:rRNA from 1 species